CUCCGUGAGGCUUGCUCCUGAGUCACGGCAAAGGGGUGUGCUGGGCGGUCCAGGAAAUGCCAAAUGCACCUAACCUGUGGUGUCUGACACAGCCGACUUUUGGGUGUGUGUGUGUGGGCAAAACGCCUUUAAGAACGCCUCCUUCUUAAACAGCAUAAGUUUUACUUGAUACUCGCCAGCCUUUAUUAUUAGCAUUCAGACGUCUAACUGAAUUAAAGGACGGAGAGCAGUACUAAACUGUUGCUUGCUCUCACUCAUCCCUUGGUGAGAACGAUGCCCAGAAGAGAGUGGAGCAUAGCCAUCAUAGGAAACAGAAAGAGGGAGCAAACAAAGCCCAUUGGCCACCUCUGUGGAGUCAAGAAGAGCCACAAAAGCCUCUGGUGUGGAUAUAAUCUCCGCAGCACAGGAACCUUAUUCUUGUAAGUCUGCUUAUCGCUCAUUUGUUACUGCUUUCAGUAUAGUCCAUUCUUUUGCCAGCCAACUGUGUUUUUAUAUAGAACAUUAUGUGGCAGAUAUAGAAGUAUCUGUUUAUGCCAGGAGAUAAGCAUACUUAAAAUUAGUUGCUUUUUAUUGAAAUAUGGUCUAUUGCAAAUCUAGACAAUCCUAUACCUAUGAAGGAUUGUUUUGUAACAGUGAAUUAUAGCUGUAACUGGGAGCUCUGGAAUGUAUUAGUAUUUCAUUGAUCUGUGUGCUGUGUCUCCUGAGGAAACAUCUGCUGUGCUUAAAUAUAUAAUGAAACUAUAUCACUGCAGGAGAGCAACUACUUAUUUGCACUCACCUUUUUCUGUUUUAGGGAGUUAGAUAUCAGUCCAGAAUCCAUGCUUAGUUGUGUCUCCACUGUCCUUGAUGAGGUUUUUCCCUCUACCCACAUACAUAAAUCAAAGGAGACUUUCAAAUGCUUAAUGGAAAUACUGUCAAUACAUAAUCUCUCUCUAUAUUGCUUUCAGGCUAAACCAUAAAUUUUAAAAUAACUCUGACAGCAUUAUAUCUUUAUCUGAAGAAUGAUUUGUACAUACAGAAAAUGUGGAUAUGGGCCACAGAUGAAUCAUCAUUCUGUCAUAGCCCUCCAUUAAUCAUUAAAGCACUGCAAUUAGAUACUAAGUUACCCAGCAAUCUGUUGUCAGUGAGUUUCAGACACUAAAUCUAAGGCACAAAUAUGUAAACAAUUGUACUUAGAUGUUUGUGAGAAAUUCUGAGAAUCCCAAUGAGUUUCAGUCAUUGUAUCUGUGGGAAUUUGGCAGUUAGGAGGAUUUGUGUCCCAACUGCAAGAAAAGCAAAAUGGGGAAAAGGCUCUUUUACACUUUUUCAAAAGCCUAUCAAAUCAGGAGUAAUUUGAGUAUUUUGCUCAGUAUAACAACAGUGAAGUCACAGUGCAAAUCUAGCAUGUCUCAGCUUGCUUAGCACCAGCUUUGCAACAACUGAG
rnacentral:lncRNA from 1 species